rnacentral:rRNA from 1 species
UACGUAGGGCGCAAGCGUUGUCCGGAAUUAUUGGGCGUAAAGAGCUCGUAGGCGGCCUGUCGCGUCUGCUGUGAAAUCCCGGGGCUUAACCCCGGGCGUGCAGUGGAUACGGGCUGGCUGGAGGCAGGCAGGGGAGAAUGGAAUUCCCGGUGUAGCGGUGAAAUGCGCAGAUAUCGGGAGGAACACCAGUGGCGAAGGCGGCUCACUGGCCCGGUACUGACGCUGAGGCGCGAAAGCUAGGGGAGCAAACAGG